CAUUAGAAUAUAUACAACAAAAUUGUGGAAGAGGCCAUUGUUAAAGAGUGGCUCAGAUGAUAAAAACUGAAGUAAGUUGUCAGAGGAGUGGUUUUCAGGUUUUAUGAAGAUGGGUUGUCUGCUAGCUAUUUUGUGGAGCAUCGUCUCCGAUUUAAUGGAGCACCUCUACGAGAAUGCUUUGUAGCAAAUAUAGACAAUUUCUGAGUAUUUUGAGGACUAUAAUGCCAGGAAUAAAAAAACAAACAAGGCCUUUACUAGAUUGUUCAUGAGGCUUUGAUCUAGGAACCAAAAGUACUUUUGUACCUAGUUGAAGGGGAUGAUAUCAGCUGUCAAGAGAGGGAGUUAUUGGAGGAAUCAGAUGGUGGUGUUAAAAUUCAGAUGGGAGAAGGGAAAAUCUGAUUGAUCUACUACAAGUGCUUCCUUUUGAGCAUGUUAUGGAUGCAAAACCAGAUAUGUACAUUACCUAGAGAUACUUGAGGUCUAUAUAAGCUAUGGUGACUGACGUUUCUUAGCUACGUCCUAUUACAGAGCUGCCAUGUUCUCCUGUCCCCAUGAUUUGCUCCAUCCCUGGUAUGUAAUUGGUUCCACAUUUGACUUUUGCUCAAGUAUGUAGAUAUUUAGAUGUGUGCUUUCUGUCUUUUUUUGAUAAUUAUGGAUGGGUUCUUUUCUUGAAAGCAUCUAGUCAAUCUACACUGCUUAUUGCUUUGUGACGUGAAAGUGUAAAUCUCGAUCAUUAGAGAAGAGAUCCCUUAAUGACUUUCUUUUCCCCUGAAAAUUCAAUUUCAUUUGUUGGUGCAUAUGGUUUACUAAUUACUUCUUUGUCACUGUCAAAAACUGAUACAAAAUUUAAAUAUAUUUGUCUGUUGAUUUCAUUUGUAUUUCGGAGUGGCAUUUUAGUGCAAUGUCUGAGGUCUAUUUACUUCUGGUGGGUCAAGUGUUGUUGCUACAAAUUGGUCAAGUGAUCUUUUAUGAUGCAUGACAUUUGAAGCAAAGUAAAUUUACUGUCUCUUUUCGUUUUGUGUAAUUUGAGUGUUCUCAAGUAGAAAAACCUUUCCAAAGAAAACCCCAUGUACUUAAACAUAGGACUGGCUUCACUAUACUACUGCAGUUGUACCCCUGGAGAAAUUCCAUCAUUUUUAUGGAUUGAAAACAUAAAAGCUCUCCAAGAUACAAACAAAUUCAUUUUCAUCACUUGAUAAUGGAUUUGUAGCUUUUGAAAAUCUCUAAUAUCGGCAAAAAUUUAAAAUCCAUUUCAGAAGUUAAUAUGCCAGUCAAGAUUUGCAUUUUUAGUCCUCGAAUUCCUUUUCUCUUAUGCAAAUUGUUUUUGGACGACUAGAGGAUGGAUUUCAACAUUUUGGAUUCUCUCUCCCAACUAAUUGACAAUCACGGUGCGGUCAUGGUCUUAAGCUUCAUCUGCAAUUGUAAAAAAAACUCUUUGGCAUGUUAGAUCACAGAUAAAGUUUCACAUAAACCUAAGAUAAGAAAAGACCGCAGCAAUAAGCGUGGGUAUCAAUAACGGGAAGCAGCAGGGCUUUUGAAGCCAUCUGAGCUGUAGCACUCUUAUUUGAUAAUGGGGAAUGCUACACUAUUUUGGAAGCUACAUGCGGCUUCCAAAAUAGUGUAAGGAAAGAGAAGCAACCACUUCCAUACUCCCCUUUGGAAGCCACCACUUUGGAAGCUCCCAAAGAUGCGGCUUUCACCAAUCAAAAAGUGCCAUGAAACACAUUGCCAUGCAGCUUUGGUUCGACUGUGUUUGGUAUGCGGCUACAAAGCCAUGUGUUUCCGACAACAACAGGAGGCACCAAAUGUGCUGAUGCCAUGCAUGUCAGCACAACUUGUGCCAUCCGGUUUUAUCAAAUUUCACAGCGGAUUGCGGCCGCUUGCAACCACUGCUGCAUGAAAACAUUUUCCCCAAUAAAUGUUUUUUUUUUUAAUGUUACUUGUAUCCCAAUAAUGAUGAUUGUAAUUGUCCUAGCCAUCAAGAGACUUAUGUUAAGUUAGUCCAUAAUAGCUAUUGCUUUUCAUUCAAUGAUCCAGAAUUGAUACUCCUUUAAUGCAGGUGGAAGACAAGAAGGUAUUUGAUCAUAAGAAAGCAUUCUUUAAAUGGUAAAUUUUAAGAAUCACUCAGGAACCGUGGAUGAAGUAAUAGGAACUCUCAACUACAAGUCUGUACAAGCAGGGUGGACUCUCUAAAUAUGAGGAACAAUGCACAUAUGAAUAUAAUCUGACUUUCAUAAAUUAAUAAAGGAAAAAGUUUAUAUAAUGUAGAAGUAAUAUGCAUUUUAAAAAUCCACUCAAAAAGGUUGUUUCGAGUUUGAAAAGCCCUACAAAUGAUCAUUUCGGUCUUGAGAUGUACGAACAUGGGAAAAGCAAAAAAAAGGAUUUUAAGUUUGGAUAUGCACAAUCUACAAAAUAUUUGAAGCUUUGAAUUUUAUAAUUAGCUGUAAAAAUAGAUUUUUAGGCUGUUAGGUUUACGAUACCAAAACAUCUUUUUAGCAAAAUCUAGUAGUGUGCCUUAUUUUGAUUGUUUAAGGUUGACACCUUAUACAAACCAAACCCAUAAAUAAAUAAAGGAUGACGUUGGCAUGAGGCCCCUCCCUCAUGCAAACACCUUGAGGCCUACCCCUUAGAUUUCCACUUUUUAAAUGGAUUGAAACCCAAUAAUCAUUCCAGACCCUUGCAAACCAUAUAAAAAUGGAUUUGGGGCUCCUUCUCUGAUCUUUAAUCCAUUGAAUGGGCCACAAUGCCCAAAUGGACUCUCCACAAUGCCCGUUAAGAUGGCAUUUUAAGGGCGCAUAUUUAAGAGAUUUGAUUCUGCAGAUUUUUGGGUCCUCGAUCACUCAAAAUCAGCGUUUAAAAAAUCGCCGAGUCGAACCGGACUCGCCCGGUUCGACUCGGAAUUCAUGAAAAAGGGACCGGAUCGGUUCAAAAACCGGGAAUCGUCCGGUUCUAGAGAGAACCGGACGAUUCCGCACAGUGACUCGCCGAUUCACUGUGCGGAAUCGGCGAGUCCGUGAAGAACACGGGUUGCACAGUGUCCUUCACGGAUUUUUUUUCAAAUUUGUCAUUUUUUGAUCAUUUUUUUUGUUUUUUUCGGCACGUGAUCUGUUUUUCAGGCUGUAAACAGCUUUAUUCAGAUUUUUUNNNNNNNNNNNNNNNNNNNNGACUAAAACGAUCUCCUGUAAAAAACUCUAGCCCCCAUCUUGCCCCAAUUACUGAAUUUGCCCUUGACCAUGCUCAACAUGGUCAUAAAGAGACCGAGUUCCUUACUGCUCGCCUUUUGGCAAUGGAGGAAGAAACCAAGAUGCUAAAGGAGGCUUUGUCAAAGCGUAACAGUGAACUUCAGGCAGCAAGAAACGUGUGUGCUAAAACAGCGAGCAAGCUUCAGAGCAUGGAAGCACAGGUACAAGCCCUAAAUCAUAAAAAGAACCCCAUGAACACUGAGGUGUCCAUGGAGGGUUCAAUGAGCCAAAAUACAAGUAGUAACCCACCAAGCUUGGCCUCCAUGUCUGAGGAUGGAAUUGAUGAUGAAACUAGUUGUGCAGAGUCGUGGGCCUCUGCUUUGAUCUCAGAGCUUUCCCAAUUCAAGCGAGAGAAAGAUAUGGAUAAGGGUAACAAAGAAUUACAGAUUGAACUCAUGGAUGACUUUCUAGAGAUGGAGAAGCUCGCUUCCACCCAGGUUACUUCCGUUGAAAAGGAACUUCAAACUGAGACCGAUCAAAAUAACCCAAAACCCGAUACCAAUGACUGGUCCUUGUCCCAACUUCGAGAACGAAUUGCCAUGAUCUUUGAAUCCCGUGCUAAUGGAACUGGCAUGGAGAAGAUUCUUGAGAAUAUCAGAUGUGUUUUAAAGGAAUUUCAGAACAAUUUGCCUCGUCACAAUUCAGGUGGUCUCUCAGAUGGCAGUCUUUCGACUGAUGCUGCUUCUCAAACCAUUGGGGAGACUCUUGAGAAUGGAAACUGUCCUCCUCUCUGUGAUAGUAAGCCAUGUACUAGAACUCUAGAAUCAGAGUUCACUGAUGCCAUCUCUAAGAUUCAAACAUUUGUAGAAUCACUAGGUAAAGAGGCGUCAAGAAUAUGGAAGGAGAGGCUUGAUAUUGUGAACGGAUUGAGCAAAAGUAUUGAGGAUUUUUCUAUCUCUGUUAAUGAGGUUCUGUCUGGCAGAAUGGAUGUGAAGGAAUUUAUUUUUGAUCUUUCUCAUGUAAUGGCUGAAGCUGGGGUAUUUUUCUUUGAGAUGCUCAAUAAAAUCAGCUUUAAAGGGGAAAGGAAUGAUGUAGCUGCAGGCAAGUUGGGGUCAAAAGAAGAUAAGGUGGCUGAAAUGGGUUUGUCAGGAGAGAGAUGUUUAAGUGAUUCUACCCUUUCAUCUCAAUCAUGUUUGGGUUCUGGGGCUCUCCAAGAAAAAAUGGUGGACAAACUACACAAGCAUUUGGAGGGAGAAAUUGAGCAAUUGAAGUCAGAGAAGGACAUCAUGGCGAGGGAUUUUGUUAUGUGCAAUGAGAAUUUGGAGCACACUAAAGCCCAACUUGUGGAAACUGAGCAACUUCUCUCUGAACUUAAACUGGAGCUUGAAUCUUGUCAGAAUUCAAAGAGCCUUGUUGAGACGCAGCUGAAAUGCAUGGCAGAGUCUUAUCGAACCCUAGAAUUGCGUGCGAAAGAAGUGGAAGAUGAAGUGAAACUUCUUAGAGAAAACGCAGAGGCUUUGAACUCUGAACUCCAGGAAGAGAAGAGGAUAUGCGAGGAAGCUGUCACAAAAUGCAUGGAUCUUCAGGAGCAGAUUCAGAGGUUAGCAAAAAUAAAGCUUUUUUCUUGUUGAUAUUUUUGCGCUAUGGAACACUUCAAUUGGCAUAAUUUUAUAUUCUUUCAAUUGUUCUCAUAAAUUCUUCUCAAUCCGCAUGUUGGUUUCCAGUUUUGUGAGUAAACUUUCAUGGGAAAAUAUACUAUACACCCGUGUCCAUUCCCAAAGAUGGAUGGUAGAAGUUAAUUAUAGUUCCUAAUUAUGGAUAUUUGCCUGGGUACAGUAUAUCUCUACCAUCCGUCAUCAGGAACAAAGGGUGAUGUCCUAUGUACCACCUAGUGGUGUACCAAACUUUCACAGCUUUUGUUUCAUAGCAAUAUACUGAUGACUUUUUUAUGAUAAUUUGGGUACUGAUUCUGAUAUGUGAUCUUCUGUUUAUUUCUUUACCACUUGCAGGAAUGAGGAGUGUGCAGUUUGCUCAUCUUGUCCGACAGAUCAAUACGUCAAGGCCAAACAAGUAAAGAUCGUGACUAGCUGCUCCUUUUCAGUCUUUUUCUAUCUGUCUGUCCUUUCACUGAACAUAAGGAGCACUAGUUUGGGAUAGUGUCUUUUCAGUCCUUUCAUGUUAUUUAUAUAGUUUCUUGCAUGGCAGUAAAAUGAAACAUUAAUAAACAAAUGCAUAUAUGUAGGUCCUAUCAAAGUUCAAACACCUAACAGAAAGGCCCACUUUCUAUUCAAACUACUCUCAACCCUGGUCCCAUCCUUCUUGUAUAGCUGAUGCCCGUUUUAAACUGCCCCACCAUGCAAAAUAAUUUUGCUGAGUGUCCUACCAUCUCCACUUUCAAAACCUUCAUUUUUGUUCCAAAAGUUCUCUUUCCUUCCUCCUUACCUGAGCAUGGCAGGGACCCUUGUCGUGCUCUUUGUAUCCCUUUCUGAAAUGCCUCUUCUGCCCUUGUAAUUACCUCAUUCUUAGUACAUACUUUUUGUUGUCGCUUUUCUAUGACACAAUUGCCUUGCUUCGCUCUACUCACUCUAAGAAACCUCAUUCUCCACCCUCCGUGACCAUCCGAAAGUAACCGUCUAUGGCUACAAUCUCCAAAAAUCUACACUCCUAAAUCCCCAAAUACUGAUAUCUUCCUGAAAUUCCUUGAUCAACCUUAUUAAUAAUUGUUCUAUCCUCACUACUUUGAAUCCCUAGGCAUGGUUUCGUCUCAUCCCAAUUUAUGCCUUUUUAGAUGGCCUUCUGGUUAUCCGCACCAUCUGUGUCUCACUACCAUUUUUUGUCUUAACCUCCCUUUCUUUGCCAUUGGUACCAUGUUCCACUGCAUUCUCUUGGAACUUCAUGCUACAAAUCUUUAGCAGUUUAUGUGCACUGUCUAAAAAUUAUGUAACAAUCUGGCUCAAUGCAGGAAAAAGAGAUAGCAGCUGCAGCUGAGAAGCUUGCCGAAUGCCAGGAAACAAUAUUUCUUCUUGGAAGGCAGCUGAAGGCCCUGAGAUCCUCUCCAAAUGAGCUAACAGGUUCUCCAUUCUCUGAAAACGAGCACCAUAGUCAGAACGUAAUGGAGCAAGAUUCUGUAGAUUUGACACAGGUGGCGAUGGAAGAUACUCCAUCCGAUGUACCUAGGAUUGAGUUUGUGUCACGCUUGGACCCUUACACCAUCCCCCAAUUUUCAUCAGAUACUGAAGCAAGCCCUCUUUCAAGAUCUCCCAUAAACCCAAAGCGCCCAAAACACAGGCCUACUCGGUCUUCUUCCUCUUCCUCCUCUUCAGUACCAACCCCUGAGAAAAACACACGAGGUUUCAGUAGAUUCUUCUCAAGAGGGAAGGUUAACCAUUAGAAUAUAUACAACAAAAUUGUGGAAGAGGCCAUUGUGAAAAGAGUGGCUCAGAUGAUAAAAACUGAAAGUAAGUUGUCAGAGGAGUGGUUUUCAGGUUUUAUGAAGAUGGGUUGUCUGCUAGCUAUUUUGUGGAGCAUCCUUUCCGAUUUAAUGGAGCACCUCUACGAGAAUGCUUUGUAGCAAAUAUAGACAAUUUCUGAGUAUUUUGAGGACUAUAAUGCCAGGAAUAAAAAAACAAACAAGUCCUUUACUAGAUUGUUCAUGAGGCUUUGAUCUAGGAACCAAAAGUACUUUUGUACCUAGUUGAAAGGGAUGAUAUCAGCUGUCAAGAGAGGGAGUUAUUGGAGGAAUCAGAUGGUGUUAAAAUUCAGAUGGGAGAAGGGAAAAUGUGAUUGAUCUACUACAAGUGCUUCCUUUUGUGCAUGUUAUGGAUGCAAAACCAGAUAUGUACAUUACCUAGAGAUACUUGAGGUCUAUAUAAGCUAUGGUGACUGACGUUUCUUAGCUACUUCCUAUUACAGAGCUGCCAUGUUCUCCUGUCCCCAUGAUUGGCU
rnacentral:lncRNA from 1 species